rnacentral:rRNA from 1 species
AGUGAACGCUGGCGGUAGGCCUAACACAUGCAAGUCGAACGGCAGCACAGGAGAGCUUGCUCUCUGGGUGGCGAGUGGCGGACGGGUGAGGAAUACAUCGGAAUCUACUUUUUCGUGGGGGAUAACGUAGGGAAACUUACGCUAAUACCGCAUACGACCUACGGGUGAAAGCAGGGGAUCUUCGGACCUUGCGCGAUUGAAUGAGCCGAUGUCGGAUUAGCUAGUUGGCGGGGUAAAGGCCCACCAAGGCGACGAUCCGUAGCUGGUCUGAGAGGAUGAUCAGCCACACUGGAACUGAGACACGGGCCAGACGCCUACGGGAGGCAGCAGUGGGGAAGAUUGGACAAUGGGCGCAAGCCUGAUCCAGCCAUACCGCGUGGGUGAAGAAGGCCUUCGGGUUGUAAAGCCCUUUUGUUGGGAAAGAAAUCCAGCUGGUUAAUACCCGGUUGGGAUGACGGUACCCAAAGAAUAAGCACCGGCUAACUUCGUGCCAGCCGCCGCCGCAG